rnacentral:tRNA from 1 species
GCGGGAAUAGCUCAGUUGGUAGAGCAUCUGCUUCCCAAGCAGAAGGUCGUGGGUUCGAAACCCAUUUCCCGCUCCA